GUUCUGCCCAUCUUGCAGGGAAGUGGUCAUUGUCGCCAACAGGGAGUCGUGGGCGUCAUGGGCAACCCAGCGAGUGGGGAAAGGGGAUCGGGCGGUGAGAGGCGAGGUGCCGGCUCCGCAGCUCGAGCGUUCUGCAGGUUUUCUUAACUUCCACAAACUCUGCCCAGAGAAAAGUAAACACUGUCUCCUGAAGAAGCCAGAGCCCCUUUCCCUAGCCUGAUGCAUCCUCUGUGUCCAUGGCACCAACCCAACCACUGGUGACACUCAAUAGGCCUGAACUUCAUGGAGGAAACCUAUGGUACUUCAUGAAGACAAAACCUUCCAGUCAAAUAAUUUAAAGAAUCCAAGGUCUUCAUUUUCCUAAUAUCAAAAUUAAGGCCUACAAAAAGGCAGGAGGAAAGAUGGCCCAUAUACAGAGAGGUUCACAAAGGAAAACCCAGGACAACUUCUCACAAGGUCAUCAUCAGCUGAUCAUCAUCAGCUCUCCAGAUCGCCUUCCUCACUUGCCCCUCCUGCCAAGCCUUACUUCCAAAGUUACAUGUUUCCUCUCCUGCAACGCAUCCACAGCACAAAAAGGUGUGGUCUAAUCCUCUUCGUGCAACCCUACAGAAUUGAGGUGCAGGGAACUGUACCAAGGCUAAUAUGGGGUUACUGUCAGUGCUAUGAGUGAUUGCAGAAUAAUGUUUUAUUGCACAUAUAUAAACUUUUUAAUCCAUUCACCAGUUGAUGGACAUUUGGAUUGUUUUCACUCUUUGGCUGUUGUGAAUAAUGCCACAAGGAACAUUUGUGUACCAAUUUUUGUGUGGACAUAUGUUUUCAUUUUUCAUUUCAGGGUCAUGUAUGUGGUAACUCUGUGUUUAAUCCUUUGAAGAACUGCCAGAAUGUUUUCCAAAGUGUCAGCACCACUUUAAUUUCCCACCACCAAUGUAUGAGGAUUUCAAUUUCUCCACAUCCUAACAUUAUCAUUGGUCUCUUUGACCAAUAGUUAUAAACCAUUCCAGUCGGUCCAAAGAGGUAUUCCAUUGUGUUUUUCAUUUGUUUACUUUUGUGAUGGGAUCUCCCUAUGUUGCCAAGGCUGGCCUUAUACCCUCAAUGCUCCUGUCUCAAGUACCAAGUAUCUGGGACUAUAAGCACAAAACCACAUACCUAUCUCCUGCUAUUAUUUUGAUUUGCAGUUCCCAGAUGGCUAAUAAGUUGAGCAUCUUUUCAUGUGCCUUUUGGAUAUUUGUUUAUUUUCUUUGGAGAAAUGUCCACUCAGAUCCCUUGCCCAUUUUUAAUUAAGUCAUUUCUUUUUAAUAAUGUCUUUAAUUAUACUUAAUAUAUUCUAGAUACAAAUUCCUGAACAGAUUUCUGAUUUGGAAAUAUUUUCACCCACUUUUGAAGUUGUCUUUUCACGUCCUUGAUAAUAUCUUUGAAUCAUAAAAGUUGUAAUUUUCAUGAAAUUUUUUUCUUUUAAUGUAAUUUUGUGUCCUAUAUAAGAAGAUGUUUCCUACGCCAAGGUCACAAAGAUUUACUCCUGUGUUUUUUUGUUAAGAGUUUUAUAGUUUUAGCCCUUGUCUUUUGGGUUAAUAUUUAUAUAUUACAAGACAUGAAGGAAGAGUCCAACUACAUUAUUUUGAAUAUGUUCACCUAGUGGUCCCAGCAUCAUUUAUUGAAGACAUUAUUUUUCUCUUUCAAUUUCUUCAGGCCCUUGUCAAAAAUCAAUUCACUAUAAAUACAAAGUUUUAUUUCUUUACUCUCAACUCUGAAACAUGUCAGUCUUUAUUCUUUUUCCAUUCCACAUUAUUUUUAUUUUUAUAGAUUUGUAGUAAAUUUUGAAGUUAGGAAUUGUGAGUCCUCCAAUUUAUAUAUUUUUUUAAAGAUUAUUUAAGCUAUUCUGGGUCCCUUGAAUUCCUCAUCAAUUUUUCAGAUCUGCUGGUCAGUUAAUGCAAAGGAGUCAGCUGGGAUUUUGAUAAGGAUUCCUUUAUCUGUGUUUCAAAUCCUAGAGUAUUUUCCUCUUAAUAAUAUUAAUUAAGUCUUCAAGUUCUUGAACACAGGGUAUCUUUCCAUUUGGUAGGUCUUCUUAGAUGCUUUCAACAAUGUUUUGUAGUCUUCAAAUGAUAAAUAUUGUACUAUUUUUUAAAACUUAUUUUUCGGUAUUUGGGGGGUUUUGAUGUAAUGAUAAAUGAAAUUUGCUUUCAGUUUAAGAUUAUUAAUUUCUAGCUCAUAGAAAUAAAAUUGAUUUUUUAUAUUGAUUUUGUAUCCUACAACCUUGCCAAACUCAUUUAUUAGUUUUAACAGUUUUUUGCUAUUGCUUAGUGCUUCUGUAGGGUUUUCUAAAUACAAGAUCAUGUCAUCUACAAACAAACAAUUUUUGUUUUUUUAUUUGUUGUUUGUUUGUUUGUGGUGGUGAGGAUUAACUCAGGGGUUCUCUACCAAUAAAUAACAUUCUCAAUCCUUUUUUAUUUUUUAUUUUGAGACAGAUUGCUGUCUAAAUUGCCCUCUCUGGCCAUGAAUUUGUCCUGCCCCAGCCACCCAAGUCACUAGGAUUACAAUUUUAGUUCUUCAUUUCCACUCUGAAUGAAACUUAUUUAUUUAUUGUUCUAAUAGCCCUGGUUAGAACUUCCAGUGUGAUGUUCAAUGGAAAUGGUCAAUACAGAUUGUUUUAGUUAGCUUUUUUAUGCUGUGAUCAAAAAACAUGACAAGAACAAUUUGGGGAGGAAAAGUUUAAUUUGAGAUUCACAGUUUCAGAGGUCUCAGUCCAUAUAAGACCAGCUCCACUCCUUUGGGCUCAAGGAGAGGCAGAACAUCAUGGUGGAAUAGUGUGGCAGAGGAAAGCAGAUCAGGACAUGGCCACCAAGAAGCAGAGAGAGAGAGAGAGAGCUCCACUCUUUAUGGACAAAGGCACUACCCCAAUGACCCACCUCCUCCAGUAUACCCUACCUGUAUACAGUCACUGCCCAAUUAAUUCCUAUCAGAGGAUUAAUGCACUAACUAGAUUAAGCCUCUCAUAACCCAGUCAUUUUUACCUUUAAACUUUCUUACACUGUCUCACAUGAGCUUUUGGAAGAUACCUGAUUUAACCCAUGACACAGAUUCUAUUGCUUCUGUCUGCUCUUAAGAGGAAAAUAUUCCAUCUUUCAGCAUUAAAUAUGAUGUUAGCCAUUGCUCUUUCAUGAAUGUCUUUAUAUUUUGAUUAUGAAAAUGUGCUGCAUUUUGUUAAAUGUCAAAUUUUCUGCUCACAUUCAUAUUUAAAUGAUGUCUUUGUUGGCUAUACAAUUAUUGUCUGCUGCUAUUUUCUUUCAACAAAACUUGUAAUAUAUCCUUCCAUUUUUCUGGUUUUAUUGUUUAUAUUGAGCAAUCAAAUGUCAGUUUAACUGUCUUUUGUUUUGAAAGUAAAUUGUCCCCUUGCCAGAUUAUUCUUAAGGUCUUCUUUUUUUUUUUAACAGUUUUACUGUGAAGGAUUUAAUGAGGAUUUCUUCUCACUUAAUUUUAAAUUUUGUAAGUGCUUUUGAGUCUGAGACUUAAUGUUUUUGUCCAUUGAACAAAGGUUUUUAGGCAUGAACUCUUUUUUUUAAAAAAAUACUUCUCCCUAUUUUUUCUCCUUUUCCCAAAUUUUUCUUUUCCAGUUAUACAUGUCUUAGAUUUUACACUGUGCCUUCCUUGUCUUUUAGCCUUUCUCAUGUUUUACUAACUUAUUUUUCAUGCUUUAUUCUAGGUGUUUUCUUGACUUACUUUCUUCACCUGAGUCCAAGUUGUUAAUAAACUUAUUGGUACAUAAUUUGGGUUAUUCUAUUUUUAGUUUCUAAAGAACUGCCAAACCUAUCAAUUUGGUCUUUUAUCCCCUUGAGUAUAAUAUAGUAUUAGUUGGAAUAUUACUAAUAACUCCAGUGUUUCGAGCCUCUGAAACACUGUCUUUUUUCUGUUGUCUGCUAUUUACACUGGAUUUUAUUUAUGUCAUGUUGCCUCUUUCAGCCCUUGAUUUUUUUUAUUUGUUUAUUUACUUAUUUAUCAUUAGUCUUUGCCUGAUAAUAUGCCACAUAAUUUUUAGAAAUAGUCUAAUGCCAGCUCCCACUAGAAACGAUUAUAUUUGCAUCUGCCUGUUUCACAGAAGCACUAGACAUCUGGAGUUGCCUCUUCAGAAGAUGAACCAAAGCUCUUAGUCCUCCAAAGACUUAACUACUUGCUGUGGUCAACUGGUCAAGCCCUUAUGUAAAUGGAGCACAAUCUAUUGGCAAUUUCAUUAGUUAUUUUAUACAUUAAGUGGUCCCCUUCCCAAUGGCCAUUUUAAAUAAUAUUUUAGCCUAAAUAAAAAUGAAAUCUCUAGGAGCAAUAAUUGAGUUAUAGGAAAAGCUACCUGUGCUUUUUAUGAAUUCAUUAAAUCCUAUCCUAAUAGACUUCAGUUGUACUAGAACCUGAUUCUUGUAAAAAAUUUUAGCAUACUUAUUAAUUCCCAUCAUGCCCUAAUUAAGCACCUUUUCAGUAAUACCAAGGAUGUUUCAGAAAUUUAUAAUUUUCUUGCCUGCACUGCCCUUGUUUCAUGUGAAGAAGAAAUUUGAGACUCUAAAGCUGUCAGUCUGACACUUUUAUGAGCUACAUUCAGCAGAAGAUUUUUUUUUUUUUUUUUUGGUGGAAAAGAAAACUACAAUGGUACUCCAGGGAAUGAGCUUUUACUCCCCAGCCCUAGAAACACAACUUUUAGUGAGUGUUUCUCAGCACACCUGUGCAUGCCUGCUUUUAUUAGAUUAAAACAAUGCAUACUUUUGGACCUCAGAACUCCAGAUGGCUCUCAGUGAUCCUGCUAGCAGCUUUUAAUAUGAAAGUGUGAAAUAUAGCUAUUUCAUAUCUCAACUUUUAUUACUUUCAUUGCCUGGGUGUAGUUCUUUUCUCACUGAUUUUUUUUUGAAAGAUGAAUAUAAACAAAUUAGUAUCUUGUAUUUUAAACAUAAAUCCAAGGACUAACCUUUAAGUGAAUGUCUUAAUGGAGCAUCAGGAUUAGAUUUUAAAAGAAGAAAGAAGCAAAAACAGAAAGAUUUGGAUAGUGGCAAGAUAAAAACAUAAAUGAAUAUCCCUAAAGGAAUGUUCUACAGAAAUCGGAAAUCUUAGGCAAUGGUUUUUAAGUCAGGAUCAUGACAUUGUUAGGACAAUAUACCUAAAGAAAUACUAGUGUAUUCCUUCUUCCCUACAAACUCUUCUUUGGCCUCAUGUUCUGAAGAAUUUGGAUUUUGCAAUGAAAACAGAAUAUACCUGCAAAUAUGGAACACUAACAUAAUAAAAUUCAGUCAUUAUGGUACCCCAUUUAUACCAAGUGUAAGUCUUGCAUUCUGUAGGUGAAUAACCCUUGGCUUUAGUUUAUUUUCCUUUCCUUGUCCGCGACAUUGGUCUUGACUUCCUUCUGUGUAUUUUCAUUAUUUCUGCUAUUUUUAUUGAUAUCUUGCUGUGUUUGUGAAAGUUUUAGAAUGAACCUAGUGAUGGGCAAGUAGACAUGUACUAAGCACAGUUAAGAACUUAUGAUUACUACAUACUCAAAAAAUUUUUGAGGUUCUAAAAGGCCUGGAGAGUGAGUGUAGACAAAGCCAGAGAAAUGUGAUUUUAUUAAAGGUAUUUUGCUUCUGUA